GAUGAACGCUGGCGGCGUGCCUAAUACAUGCAAGUCGAGCGAACAGACGAGGAGCUUGCUCCUCUGACGUUAGCGGCGGACGGGUGAGUAACACGUGGAUAACCUACCUAUAAGACUGGGAUAACUACGGGAAACCGGAGCUAAUACCGGAUAAUAUAUUGAACCGCAUGGUUCAAUAGUGAAAGACGGUUUUGCUGUCACUUAUAGAUGGAUCCGCGCCGCAUUAGCUAGUUGGUAAGGUAACGGCUUACCAAGGCAACGAUGCGUAGCCGACCUGAGAGGGUGGUCGGCCACACUGGAACUGGGACACGGUCCAGACUCCUACGGGAGGCAGCAGUAGGGAAUCUUCCGCAAUGGGCGAAAGCCUGACGGAGCAACGCCGCGUGAGUGAUGAAGGUCUUCGGAUCGUAAAGCUCUGUUAUUAGGGAAGAACAAAUGUGUAAGUAACUAUGCACGUCUUGACGGUACCUAGUCAGAAAGCCACGGCUAACUACGUG
rnacentral:rRNA from 1 species